AGGGUUUGAUCAUGGCUCAGAACGAACGCUGGCGGCAGGCCUAACACAUGCAAGUCGAGCGCACCCUUCGGGGCGAGCGGCGGACGGGUUAGUAACGCGUGGGAACAUACCCAAUGGUACGGAAUAGCCUCGGGAAACUGAGAGUAAUACCGUAUGUGCCCUUCGGGGGAAAGAUUUAUCGCCAUUGGAUUGGCCCGCGUUAGAUUAGAUAGUUGGUGGGGUAAUGGCCUACCAAGUCUACGAUCUAUAGCUGGUUUUAGAGGAUGAUCAGCAACACUGGGACUGAGACACGGCCCAGACUCCUACGGGAGGCAGCAGUGGGGAAUCUUAGACAAUGGACGCAAGCCUGAUCUAGCCAUGCCGCGUGUGUGAUGAAGGCCUUAGGGUCGUAAAGCACUUUCGCCAGAGAUGAUAAUGACAGUAUCUGGUAAAGAAACCCCGGCUAACUCCGUGCCAGCAGCCGCGGUAAUACGGAGGGGGUUAGCGUUGUUCGGAAUUACUGGGCGUAAAGCGUACGUAGGCGGAUCAGAAAGUAUGGGGUGAAAUCCCAGGGCUCAACCCUGGAACUGCCUCAUAAACUCCUGGUCUUGAGUUCGAGAGAGGUGAGUGGAAUUCCAAGUGUAGAGGUGAAAUUCGUAGAUAUUUGGAGGAACACCAGUGGCGAAGGCGGCUCACUGGCUCGAUACUGACGCUGAGGUACGAAAGUGUGGGGAGCAAACAGGAUUAGAUACCCUGGUAGUCCACACCGUAAACGAUGAAUGCCAGUCGUCGGGCAGUAUACUGUUCGGUGACACACCUAACGGAUUAAGCAUUCCGCCUGGGGAGUACGGUCGCAAGAUUAAAAC
rnacentral:rRNA from 1 species